UGGGGAAUAUUGGACAAUGGGCGAAAGCCUGAUCCAGCCAUGCCGCGUGUGUGAAGAAGGUCUUCGGAUUGUAAAGCACUUUAAGUUGGGAGGAAGGGCAUUAACCUAAUACGUUAGUGUUUUGACGUUACCGACAGAAUAAGCACCGGCUAACUCUGUGCCAGCAGCCGCGGUAAUACAGAGGGGGCAAGCGUUAAUCGGACUUACUGGGCGUAAAGCGCGCGUAGGUGGUUUGUUAAGUUGGAUGUGAAAUCCCCGGGCUCAACCUGGGAACUGCAUUCAAAACUGACUGACUAGAGUAUGGUAGAGGGUGGUGGAAUUUCCUGUGUAGCGGUGAAAUGCGUAGAUAUAGGAAGGAACACCAGUGGCGAAGGCGACCACCUGGACUAAUACUGACACUGAGGUGCGAAAGCGUGGGGAGCAAACA
rnacentral:rRNA from 1 species